UACGUAGGGUGCAAGCGUUGCCCGGAUUUAUUGGGCGUAAAGGGCGCGUAGGCGGCUCUGCACGUCCGUUGUGAAAUCGCCCGGCUCAACUGGGCGGGGUCAGCGGAUACGGCAGAGCUUGAGCAAGCUAGGGGGCAAUGGAAUUCCCGGUGUAGUGGUGGAAUGCGUAGAUAUCGGGAGGAACACCGGUGGCGAAGGCGGCGAUCUGGGUAGAUACUGACGCUGAGGUGCGAAAGCGUGGGGAGCAAACAGGG
rnacentral:rRNA from 1 species